rnacentral:rRNA from 1 species
GAUGAACGCUGGCGGCGUGCCUAAUACAUGCAAGUCGAGCGAACAGACGCGGAGCUUGCUCCUCUGACGUUAGCGGCGCACGUGUGUGUAACACGUGGAUCACCUCCCUAUCUGUCUGGUAUACCUUCGGGAAACCGGCGCUAAUACCGUAUAACAUGUUGCACCGCAUGGUUCAACAGUGAAAGACGGUCUUGCUUUCACUUAUACAUGGAUCCGCGCCUCAUUAGCUAGUUGGUAAGGUAACGGCUUACCAAGGCGACGAUGCGUAGCCGAGCUGAGAGGGGGAAGGGCCACACAGGAAGUGAGACACGGUCCAGACUCCUAGGGGAGGCAGCAGUAGGGAAGGGACGGAAAUGGGCGAAAGACUGACGAAGCAACGAAGCGUGAGUGAAGAAGGGCUGCGGAUCGGAAAACGCUGUUAGUAGGGAAGAACAAAUGUGGAAGGAAAGAUGCAAGUAGUGACGGUACCUAAACAGAAAGCCACGGCUAACUACGUG